CAAUAGCGUAUAUUUAAGUUGUUGCAGUUAAAAAGCUCGUAGUUGGAUUUCGGGUGGGACGCAGCGGUCUCGCAUUGCGUUUGUACUGCUGCAGCCCUCCUUCUUGCCGGGGGCGGCCUCUCGGACUUCACUGUCUGGGGGUCAGAAUCGGCGAUGUUACUUUGAGUAAAUUAGAGUGUUCAAAGCAAGCUUACGCUCUGAAUAUAAUAGCAUGGGAUAACACGACAGGCCUCUGGCCUAUCGUGUUGGUCUAUAGGACCAGAGUAAUGAUUAAGAGGGACAGUCGGGGGCAUUCGUAUUCCGUUGUCAGAGGUGAAAUUCUUGGAUUUACGGAAGACGAACAUCUGCGAAAGCAUUUGCCAAGGAUGUUUUCAUUGA
rnacentral:rRNA from 1 species